AACCGUCGAAUCUGAUAAAUCCAUUUCAUUUUGAUACAUGAUUAACAUAUUUUUUUAUAAACUAAUUAGUCACAUAUCAUGCCAGCAACUCCAAAAACUGAGGUGGAGAGAGAGAGCACAAGAUAAAAUUUUGAAAAAUAGAAGAAGGAAUGAAAAUCAUCCAUAAAGUGUCUUGAGCGAACGAUAAAGGUUAGACGCUCGUUGUUAAACCGUUUGGCAAAUUAAAUCUGAGAGUAUGUUGCAUCAUGAGCACCUUUUUCCUAAGAGAGAUGUUAAUCUAACAUAAUUAAAAUUUAGUACUGCACUUAAUUACUGUAGUAUUUCUGUGGAGCUUCUUAAGACAUCCAGAGUGCGAUAACCCUUAAGUGAAGGGCAUCGACGCUAAUCCCAGGUCUGCAGCAACUCUUAGGACUAGCUAUAUAGAGUUAUACAUAUUGUCCACAAUACAUAUACAUGAUAAGUACUUCAUACUUAGUCGAACCUAUCUAAUGGGAGAGGAGAGCGCCACGGCGGCGGCGGCGGUGGCAAGAAGUUCUUGCCAUGAAAAUCAACUAUUAGCAACCCGCCAUACGCUUUAGCCGCCUCAAAGCAAUCCAUGGGCUUCUGGGGAGGGGCUUGAGGAAUCAGGGGUUGCCUAGCCAUCUUCUUGGCCACGCCCUCUUCUAACAUGGCGAAGGCUUCCUGUUCAAUUUGGGCAAGUUUGCGUGCAUGAGCCAUGAUAAGUGCUCUGAUUCCUCGUGCUAAACUGGCGACUUAGCGAGUGAUCUAUCUAUGAGGCUGUGUUCUUUGUGCUGCUUCUAUGCAGUGAAGAACGGAACCCGCCCGUCGCCCUUUUUAUACGUCCAACUUCUCUGGAAAGAAGGCAAUAAUUCAGAAG
rnacentral:lncRNA from 1 species